CCAGCAGCCGCGGUAAUACGUAGGGUGCGAGCGUUAAUCGGAAUUACUGGGCGUAAAGUGUGCGCAGGCGGCCGCGCAAGUCGAGUGUGAAAGCCCCGGGCUUAACUUGGGAAUUGCGCUCGAAACUAGGUGGCUGGAGUGUGGCAGAGGAAGGUGGAAUUCCACGUGUAGCGGUGAAAUGCGUAGAGAUGUGGAGGAACACCAAUGGCGAAGGCAGCCUUCUGGGCCAACACUGACGCUCGUGCACGAAAGCGUGGGGAGCAAACAGGAUUAGAUACCCUGGUA
rnacentral:rRNA from 1 species